GUGGAAGAUUUUCACAUGGCACUGACCAACCAGACAAUCUUAGUCUUGAUGGACUAGGCCCUAAACCAGAUUAGUUUACCCUUCAUUUCAUUUCAUGGCCACCUUUAGAGCCCACAAACCCUUCUCAUUUCAUGACCAUUAUCAUCUUCCUCAACUCUUGACGCAAUGAAGUAACUACAGGAGAUUGAAUUGUCCUUCUAUUGUUAUUUUUAUUUAGAAUAUUAUGUGUUUUAAGAUUCCUAAUUAAUUCUGAUCUAGUUAUUGGUUAUUCUCUUAUUUAUAAGUAAUAUUUAAUUAGUAUGGUUUCCUUUUUUUCUAGUUUCCUUUUCUCUAGCAAUUCUUUUUCUUUCUGGAUAGAUAUUACAGACAUAGACACGUACCGAAUCAUGACGGAGAUCCUUUCUUUCAAUGUAAGCUUAGACAUUAAAAGUUUCCUUGAUUGGCUGUAUGAAAUUAAACAAUUGUUCGACAUAAGGAAAAUUUGUAAAGACAAGAAAGUACUCAUUGUGGCUUACAAACUGAGAGGAGGCACUGGAGCUUGGUGACAAAACCAACAUGAUAACAUCUUGGGCAACCUCCAGUAAGAGAUUGAUAUAAUAUGAAACAAAUGUUAAGAGGAAAGUUUUUACACGCACAUUAUGAAAAAUUAUAAUUUCAACAAUUCUGCAACUUCAUGCUGAGGAAUUUAACAGUAAAUUCACCAAAGAAUUUUUGAGAUUUCAUACACAUUGCAAUUUAAGAGAAAUAUAUUCGAGGGAGCAUGGAAUAUAAUGCAGUUUACUUUGAAACUAUACUGUUGUGUUAAAUCUGCAAGAAAGAUUUGUACGUUGCAUGACCUCGAAGAAGAUAUUUAUAUAAAGUACAACUGUAAUUGUGUAUAUUAUAGUUUACACAAAGCUUAACGAAAAAUGAAUACAAUCCAACAUAAAAGCAUAAUAAGAGUUUGAAUCAUACGAACUCGUAUAGAUUGUAAUUACUCCACCUAGAUCCAGGAUUCCUACAUACCCAAAAGGAAGAAACCCAAAAAGAUAAUCUAAGCAGAUUGUCCCUCAUUGAAUCAAUAAGAUUAUUGUCAAAAUAACCACCAAAACUGGACAGAGUUCAGGUCCAGCUCGUCUUCAAGCGAGGAUUCAAAUCUUGAUCACAGAAAUACCAACCAAAGCAGAAAAUAAAUCCUCUGCUGAAAAAGGGGGAGAGAUAGAUAGAAACGAACUGUAAUUUACAAGACAUAGAUGGAGGAGAAAGCGCGGGGUUGGUGUACCGCUACUUCUUGACAAAAGGGGCAGGACCCAACUCCACAAACUACAAUGUCGUCAAAAGCAGAAACGCAGAGAGCGAUCACAGAGCAUUUGCAAUGCUAUCGCAACGGCGGAUGAAAGACAAAGCAUUUAGGGGUUUAAAAUAUUAUUUCUUUUAAAGUAUUUGAUCAUUUCCAAACAAUAGAGUGGGAAAUUCAAUAGCAUUUCACUAUUUCUUCCCAACAUAGCCUUAAUUUGUUUUUAUCAAUAUUAUUAGUUCACUAGUCAACUAAUUCAAUCCAGAAUACAAAAAACAAUUCAACAAUGUUCAUCAGAUCUUAAAAUACACCAUAUACAGCGCCAAGAAAAUGCACCGAUGAUUGAGACAAGAAAAAAAAAAGAAGAAAAAAGAAACUCAGAUGAACACGAAAUAGACUUGGGAAAAGAAAGAAGACGAAGGCAUAAAGUAGACAAAAAUAAACAAAGAGAAAAAGCUUAUCUCUUACUUUGGAUAAGAGAAGUAGGCGUUGGGAGUGUGUUGCCUUUGAUUCAGUGAAUUGUUCGAACACUUUUCGUUUUGAAUUUCAGGAAUUUAAAGGUGGAGUUAAUUGCAGAGGGUCUGUUAAUAUUUAGGGUUGACACUGAAUCAGUGAUCGGAUCCAUUAAUGGGCUCAUUGCAUAUAAUUACUAGUAUUAAUCAUUUUUUGUUAUAUUAAAAA
rnacentral:lncRNA from 1 species